CAAUAUUUUGGUUAUUCGUUGUUACAAUUUUAUCUGAUUGAAUUGGAUUUACACUCUCACCAUUAAAUUAGUAGUUUGAUUGAUUAUUAACUGUUAAUCUUUCAAUUGAAACUAUUUUGUCUAACCUGAUAAAAGAUUGUGAUUUUCAAGGUUUCUUAUUAACAACUUGGUUUUCAAUUUACCGUCUCUUUUUGUAACAAUUAACUCAUUAACUUUUUUCAAUAACUUGAAUGUUUAUUGGAAAAAAUUACUUUUGUAAUACUUAUUGAAUGUGUAUUGAUUUGGAUACAAAGAAAAUCAAUGCUAAGUGAGAUUAAUUGUAUCAAUCAAUAAAUUGAAAACAUAAUCAUUGUAUUGGAAUAGACAAAACUACGAAUUGAUCUCUCUCUUUUUCCCAACUAAUCACCAUGUUGACAUAAUGAAUGUUUUUCAUUUAGAUAAUAAUAAUACUAAAUUGACCUCAAUUGAGAAAAUUGUAAUUCCGCAAUUAAAUGAAUCAUAAAUUGUAAAUCCAUAAAAUAACAAUCGGGUUAAAAUAACCCAAAGAAACCCAAGAGGAAUCAAUAAACAACCAAUAUAACAAAAA